AGAAUCAACGCUGGCGGCGUGCCUAACACAUGCAAGUCGAACGAGAAAGUGGAGCAAUCCAUGAGUAAAGUGGCGCACGGGUGAGUAACACGUGACUAACCUACCCUUGAGUGGGGGAUAACCUAGAGAAAUCUGGGCUAAUACCGCAUAAUACCUACGGGUCAAAGGAGCAAUUCGCUUUAGGAGGGGGUCGCGGCCGAUUAGUUAGUUGGCGGGGUAAUGGCCCACAAGACAGUGAUCGGUA
rnacentral:rRNA from 1 species